rnacentral:rRNA from 1 species
UACGGGGGGGGCAAGCGUUGUUCGGAAUUACUGGGCGUAAAGGGCUCGUAGGCGGCCAACUAAGUCAGACGUGAAAUCCCUCGGCUUAACCGGGGAACUGCAUCUGAUACUGGAUGGCUUGAGUUCGGGAGAGGGAUGCGGAAUUCCAGGUGUAGCGGUGAAAUGCGUAGAUAUUGGGAAGAACACCGGUGGCGGAGGCGGCUAUCUGGCCCGUAAUUGACGCUGAGGCGCGAAAGCGUGGGGAGCAAACAGG